UAUAUACUCCCUUCGUCUAGAAAUACUUGUCGGAAAAAUAGAUGUAUCUAGAUGUAUUUUAGAUCUAGAUGCAUCAAUUUUUAUCCAUUUCCCCGACAAAUAUUUCGGGACGGAGGGAGUAUAUG
rfam:Triticum aestivum genome assembly, contig: Triticum_aestivum_CS42_TGACv1_scaffold_392739_5AS